UGCUGAGUCUUCCGGCUUUCAUCUUUCUCCAGUGCUGGAUGCUUCCUGCCCUUGAACAUCAAACUCCAAGUUCUUUAGCUUUUGGACUCUCGGACUUACAACAGUGGUUUGCCAGAGGCUCUCAGGCCUUUGGCCACAGACCGAAGGUUGCAUCGUCAGCUUCCCUGCUUUUGAGAUUUUGAGACUAAAACUGGCUUACUGGUUCCUCAGCUUGCUGGCAGCCUAUUGUGGGACUUUACCUUGUGAUCAUUCAGGCCCAUCUGCUGCUGGUCUGCUGGAGUUUGCUGGAGGUACUCUCCAGACCCUGUUUGGCUGCAUAUCACUGGCAGAGGCUGCAGAACAGCAAAGAUUGCUGCCUGUUCCUACCUCCGGAAGCUUCGUCCCAGAAGGGCACCCGCCAGAUGCUAGCCAGAGCUCUCCUAUAGUCGUAUGGGGAUCUUAUUUGGAUCUUUACAAUGAGAAGCUGGUGGGUUCCUGGAGUUAAAGCCCUGGAAAGUGCAACUGGCUUUCUGAGACUGCAGCUUCCAGAAGCUUCUCAGUCUCACACUAGCCCACAUCCAGCCUCCCCGUGAUUCGUCAAAAUUACUGUUACAGGGCUUGUACCAGUUAAUAGCUCCAGCACUCCUGCUCCAGGUAAACAGAUCUGUUUCUGUAUUUCUCUGGAUGUGUGUGUCUCUCCAGAUUUCAGGGUGUCAUUUUUCCCUCCAACUUCAGUUUUCUGAUUGGCCCAAUAAAAUCAUAAAACUUCAGUCUGUUCUUUUGUUGUUAUUAUAAAGAUAAGAGUGACACCUGUUAAACUCUUUACAUGUCAAAGCUAGAACUUAAAAAUCCCUUAAAUGCAUUAUUCUAAUUCCCAGUUCCGCUUGUAAACCAAAAAGAAAACCUUAAGCUCCCCAGCCAGCUGAGUGGACCCCUUAUGGGCCAAGGGAAAUCUGAAAAACGGAGUUCUCAAUCAUGACAGGAAAGGAGUUUGGACAUGCCUCAUUAUACCCUCUCUCUUUUGGAGUUUAGGCACAACUGACCAGCAUUAACAUUAACACAGAGAUCAUGAAACUGACCAAAUAGACUCUUUGUGGCAAUAAGAUACUAAAUUCCAAGUUGACUCUGCUAUAGCAUCACAUGACAAAUAGCAGGCCCUGAAGGAAAUAAAAGUAUUGUACAUCAGAAUAUAUUUCUUGGAUAUAUUUUGAAAUGGCCCUCUCUUCUGGGAUAAAUUUGCAUCUGUAGAAAAUCUCCUUCCCUUUCUAGUUCUUUCCUGGAUUUAGGAGAGAUUUAAUGGGUUCUGAUACCCUUUAAGGUCUCAAAAGAGACAUUUACUACCUAUUCUUUUUGAAGUUGGCUAUGUAGAGUUCUUGUUAUAUAGAGGCUUCAUCUACAUACCAAGAACUGUUGCUUCCUCAAACUCCCUCAUCUUAACUCAAGCAUUUCUUUCUAGUGACUUCCUAAGUCUUUAGACAAAGUGUAUCUCUCUCAACCAAAUGUUAGACAGAUAAUCUUUCAAUCCACCUAUGACCCGUGAGCCCCUUCAUCAAAUUCACAAUAUCUCAUCUCUCUAGACUGAACCAGUGUAUACCUUGUAUGUAUUUAUCUAUGUCUUUGCCUAUAAAUUCUGUCUGCCUAAAAUGUAUAAAACCAACUGUAACCACACAACCUUGAGCACACAUUCUUAGGACCUUUUUGGACUGUACCUGGACCAUGAUAACUCAUAUUGGUUCAGAAUAAACAUCUUUAAAUAUUUUACAUAGUUUGACUUUUAAUUCCAACAUCCUUAAUAUACUUUUUUUUAGUUGUUUUCUUAGUUUAUGCCCUGGGGAGCCCAAUUAGUAUUUAAACAUAAAACAAUCAAAAACAUUUUCUUCCUUGAUGUGCAUAUUUAGGAAAUGAGGAGAUCCAAAUUUCAGUACCUUAAAAAUUAAUGAAAAUAGUAUGGAUAUUAAUAAUUUAAUGACCAGACUAUAUUAAAGGUUUAUGUAAUAAUGAAGACAGUUGAAGCUAGUUUAUAAUUCAUUUUGUUUAACCCUUUUGCCUGUUUAGAAAAAAAAAAUAGAGUUUGGUGCCAGUGUUCAUUUAAUUUCACAUAAACACACUCUUUGAGGCAAAUCUGACUGGUUUUCAACGUGAAAAUAAAAUAUAACAGCUGUUCUUGGAGCUAUUUCUAAACAGAAAUAACAGCAGAAUUGUCUGAAUCAUCAGAAUUGUCUAUUUUGGAAAAAAUUGAAUUCAUCAAAUGAAUCUUCAGCCAGCAACUGUUUGAGAAUUCAUGAGUAAGAAUGCUACGUUUUCUAGGAUUCGGCAUUUUUGGCAAUAGAAAAUUACUACCAUUUGUAAAUGGAAAUCCCACUACUGAAACCAGAAUACUAUAAAUAGAAUGAUGUCUUUUGUUUCCAAAGUUGAUAUCCUAGAGUUAUGUGAAAAUAAUAAUAAAAGAGAACUAUUUCGUGGCAAAGUUACCUCAGGGUAAACAUUAUGGCCACAAACACCACCAGCAACUAUUUUCAAGGGAAACAGGAAAAGGGUUUAUACACUUUAUUAAAUUAGUUAUUUAUAUGUGUUCAAACUACAACCUGACAAUAAUGGCAAAUGAAAUUGCAAGCUCUAAAGUUUUACAGAGUUUGAUGAGAGCCAUCAACUUCUUUUUGCAUUUAAAAUAUUUCUGUUCUUUUUGUCUCCAUUGGUUUAGCCAUUAUACUUUGCAUUUUUGGGGUAGUUACCUGCCAAUAUUUAAUAUACACAUUUAGAUUUAUAAUUUUCUUUGAGUCUUCGGUUAACCUCCAGACUUAAUCUCUUUUAGAACAGGAAAAAUUAUUUUAAUGAUUUCAACUCCUACAAUAUAUUUUCUAGUAUUCUAUUUUGGCAUUAUUGAACUUUUUGAUAGUCUGAUGUGACAAUCACUCACUCUACAGUAAUUUUCACUCAAAAUUCUAUGCAUACCUUAUAAAUAUUUUAUGGUCUGGAAGCUUAUUUUUCUGUAAUCUAGAAUAAUUUUGCAGGAUUUUCUGAUAUUAAUGCUUGACUCUGAUGACUUCCUUCUGUUCCUCGGAGAUAAAUAAAUCUAGUUUUGUUUAUCAAUUACUGUCUAUAUUGGGUCUUCUAGUUUAUCCAGACUGACUUUUGGGUUUUUUUUUACUCUGGUUGUAUUCUCCUGCCUAAGUAUACAUUUUGUUUUCAUUUAUGAUAUAUGUUGAUAGUUUUUAUGCACCGCUCAUAAGUUCCAGGGGUUCUGCGGGUUGGCUGUGACUUGAAAGCCUGAUUGAUCACCAAACAGUAAUUCUGGUAAGUUAAUUGACAAGAAUUGGACAUUGACAUAUUUACCAUAAUUUGAGACCCUAAAAUUAUCCGCUGAUCUCUUUAGGGUUUAAGCACCAAACUAGAGAGGAUUUUCAUUUACUGGUGCUUUUGUUUCGCUCUCACUGCUACCACUAUGUGGCAUAGUGUACCAGGGACACUGAUGUUUUUAAAAUCACUCCUAUCUGCCAUUACCAUUACACUCUGUCAUACAUAUUUCUCUUUCUACAACAAGCAACACAGUUAAAAAACGAAAUACAAAAACACCUUCCUGAUUUUACACUUUCAUUUACUUUUUUCUUGUUUUGCUUCUCAAAUGACAUAUUAAAAAUACUGCUUCAAGUAUUUGAAUAUAUGCAUUCACUGUUAGAAUGUAUAAAUUAUAAAAUGUAUAUAUCAUUGUACAAAAAUCAGGACAUGUAUAAACAUACUGCUCAUAUAUAAUAUAUUGAAAGUUGCUUAUUAUGACUUAGCAUUUUAACUCCCUAUACUACUAAUAGUAACUUUUACUUCUGUCUUCUCAAAGCAAGAAGAAUGUUUAGAUCAAAACCUAAGGUAUAAUGAAAGCUCAUUUCUUCCCACAAAAGGGAGGAAUGUGGCUAUCAGUUCAAGGUUUCCUUUAAAAUUAUGAACAAUUUUUCAUGUACUUGCCUUCAACUUUAAUAUUUGCAUAGGAGAAAACCAUAAAAUACAGAAUACUCCUGCUGAUGGAAACAUAUUUAAUACGAUCCCCUGCUGAAUUUUUGUAAAUUCCACAUAUCUUUCAAAAAGGCCUGAGGAAAAUUAUAUCUUCAGCUGUUUUCACUGUUUAGAAAGAGGUAGUUUGAAAAAAUACAGGUUUUCAUUCUUUUUUCUCCAUGAAUUAAGAAAAAGGUUAAUCUGUGUUUGCUCCCCUGUUGACACAGAUGGAAUCUCCCUAGCUAGUUAAUGAAAACCUAUAUACCCUAUUAUUAGAUCAUGCUUUUAUUCCAAGCACUUUUCUAGUGAAGUUUUUAAGACAUAUAUCAUUCACUUUCUAAAACUUCUGUUUUCAAUGUACCAAAACCUGAAAACACACGUUCUACAUAGAGUCAUUUGUGCAAAGUAAGGCAAAAUAUAAUAACUAUGUUAGAUAGUAGCUUAUCAUAUUGACUAUGACAAUAAAAACUUAAAUACAAGUCUUACAUGGUGCAUUCAAGAUCCUAGACUUUAGGUUUUACUAAAUCAGCCCAGAGCAAGUUUUUAUUAAAAACAGGGUCUUGGUUGUCUUUCAGAUGCUAUUGCUUGUUAGUUAUCGUAGAUUAUUUAUUAACUAUUUCCAUUUGGAAAAGAGAUUUUUUUUAAGUGAUUGAUAGGUGAAAAAUAAAACCAUUUCCUUUUGAACAUAUACAUGGUGUUUAUUAAAUUUACUUUCAUAGCCCCGGGUUUCUUCCCAAGAAAGUUCCAAUCCUAGUAUCUUAGGCAAGGGCUAAGAGAUGAAAGUUGUGGAGUUUGAUUCCUCAACAUGUGUGUGGUUCUCAUUCUUUCUCAUCUCUUUCUCAGAGUAAUUGUUUAAAGAAUGACUUGAAACUAUGAAGAUAACACGUUGGGGAGGCUGUUGCACUUUCUAGUUGCCCUGUGUCCUGUAUUAUCAGUGGAUUUGAUUCUUGGAACUGUAGCAAUGUUCUUGCUGUGAGAUUUAGAAUGAACCAACAUGUCAAGGAAGGUAGAGUUGAACAUGCAGAGAACUGAAUCUAGAGCUUUGCCAUACCAUUAUUCAAGCAGUGCUAUUUCCAGAUCUCUUGUUUGGAAGGUUAUAAAUACUCUCCUUGUUUCAGCGAAAAUGAAUUGAGAAUCUCUUUUAUGUCUCCCCUGUGAUAUUAAAUGUUUGACUGCAA